AUGAAUGGCAUGCCUACUUUCAUUUGUAGAAGAACUAGGAGGUCUGUGGAUUAAAUGAAACGCUAUAUUACGUUAAUAUAAUGCUGAAAUCUACAAUGUUGACAAAAGAUUUUUAUUGGAUUGUCAACAAAUAUUGCCUGAUAAAUAUUUAGACACUCUUAUUGACUCACAACACCAGUAACUAAAUUGGUGUUUAAUUUCAAAAUUAUAUUUGAACAAAAAUUUGUUUCUUCCUGUUAAGUAUUUUAAAAAAUCGAGUUGCAAACCUGGAAACGAAAUCAUGUCAAAUUUCAAAAGUUUCGAGCCAUCAUAUCUAUAAAUGAAAGGACUCAUUUGUUGAUAGAUGCGACACAGCUAAAUAGAAAGAGCAUCUAAAGCUUCCUCUGGUAUCCGACUGACAUCAGACCCAUAGAAUAUUUUCCGGAACAUGUGUCUGUUCUGGUUGUAAUACCAAAAACUGGCCAAUGGGGCUCUGUCGGUGAAACUACUAAGUUUUUGAAGUGAGCCACUACCUUUCUACCUUUUAAAUCAACAACUAUCCAGUGUCUUUUAGACGUAUCCAGCAAAAAUCCGUAAUGUAAUUUAGAAUAUGAUCUAAUGGCUAAGGGAUUCGAUCACUGAAGGAUAAUGACUUAACUUUUCCAUUAUGCCAUCCAUG
rnacentral:lncRNA from 1 species